UAAAAACUCUAUAGAUCGACUCUAAUAAUAAGGGCUUUAGUUUAAAACUUACAGCGUAUCCACAGCUCCGCGGGGUCUUGUAAAUUGAUUGAUUCUGAAGGAAUUAAGUUGGUGCCAACAUAAUCAAGGCAAUUCUUUCAAAGUAUCUCCACUUGAAAAAAAACAACAAUUUCCUUUUUAUUUGUGAUAAUUAUAGAUAGCGUGACUUUUUUUAAUGGGUCUAUAUAGCCCACUACAUAUCUUUGCAACUCCUGUAAGCUAAGGAUCUGCAAUUAAACCAAAGGUAUUGGGUGUCUGCAGCCUGAGGAGCCGGGGUCGGGAGACAGUCCAGGGUUAUGGUGUCUCCCUCCAUUGCGUAUAAUUCAUUCUGAAAGAGAGAGAAAGAAAAUAUAGAAGAGGAAGAAGGUAUAUAAUAUAAGAAUUAAACAACGUGUCACGAUGCAAUGAAAAAAUGGAAAUUCUUGGUUAUCAACCUUGGUAGUUUAGUUGGUACAGCGACUGGCGUGUUUAGGCAAAAUUAGGUCCUGUCUGAGGUUAGAUUUUUUUUAUUGACUAAUUCGUAUUCAUAUAAAAAUUAAAAAUAAUGAAAUGAGAUACAUUAUUUACCAACGAAAAAAUGUAACUACGUCCAAUAUUUUAUAUUACCAAUGACUGACAUUGGCACCAAAAAGACAUCUGUAUUAAUUUAGGUAGAUACCCACUCUAGCGACAAAUACUGCAGUCUUAGAAGCAAUCCUAGAGUGUUUUAGACUCCUUGGAAAUUUUCAAAUAAUCUUUUCAUUAUUUCAUAGGUGCUAAUGAUGCCUCCUCGUUUUUUAAAGAAAAUUCAAUGUUUUAUUGACUUAAUUUAUCUCUAACUUGACUACAAUAUAUGAUAAAAAUUCCAGCUAACCUGAUCCGGAAUCAACGGCGCCAUGUUCCUCAACCCCAGCUCCAAGGUCUCCCAGGGGUUCUCUCUUUUGAAUCUCUUCACAAUCCUAUAGAUACCAUCAUCACCCUUCACGUAUCUCUCGUACGCAUCAUUGUCAUCAAAGCUCACGAUAUCCAACUCAUCAUUCAAGUCACUGUCAUCACUCAAUCUUGUAAACUGCAGGUUCAACGAUCUCCUGUUCCGUAUCCAGUCCCACCUUCUCCCCAAACUCUUGAAGGGUAUAAAGAAACUGCUGUCGACAUCUCUAUACUUAAAGCAGCUGAUAUUUUUUACGAAAUUCUCAAAGCUCUUUUCUGGUAAUCUUUUCUGCUGUUCUAUGAUAUGGUCGUAGGUGGCCUUAAUGUCACAAAUUUGACUUGUUUCGGAUGUCCGACGAGAAUCACAGGCCUCUUGAAACAAAGCACGUGUGUUAAAUUCGGGAAAUAUAAAACUGAGAGCUUGCCUGGACGAUCUGGGGAAGAUGUAACAUGUAUUCAGUUGUUUCACAUCCUAAGAUGCGACGGGGAAGGAUAAGGGGAAGUUACUUAAAGGGAGGCAGAAGACAGCGUUAUAGUCAGAUGAACUCAUCAUUGCGUGCAGUCUAUGUGUGGGUGGCUCUUGCAAAUUUACAGUGACGUUGUGUAUUCAUACACAACUACACACAUAGAACCGUGCGUGCAAAUGAGCUGAACUAUUCUUUUUCUACCAUUGACAUUUCGUUGGAUAUUAGUUGCUCUUAAGCAUGUAUUUUUAUCGAAUAUUUUCUGUUAUGUGCUAAAAUGUAUACAAUAAUACAGUAAUACAGUUUUUCAGCAAGCUCCAUUAAUAAUUAGUUUUUUUCUAAUAGCUCCAAAUUUUAAACCUAGAUUUGACAUAGUCUUACACAUACUUGAAAGACUCCCAAGCAUACUAGCUUCCUCACGCUGUUUCCCUACACCAUUUUUUUCAAAAGAGAUCAUUGUUAAAACGCUCUCAAUUUCGAAAAGGGAUGUACAUAGUGCGUGCCGGAAUACGAUCCUACAACCUUUGACUAUCACAAAAGUCUUAGGGUCUAAAGAGACGGACCGCAUUUCAACCGUUACAGCAACCGUCACAUGACUGCAGUUAGAAUGUUCUAUUGCAGUCGUGUCAACUGCAUUCAAAC